rnacentral:rRNA from 1 species
GAUGAACGCUGGCGGCGUGCCUAAUACAUGCAAGUCGAGCGAACAGACGAGGAGCUUGCUCCUCUGACGUUAGCGGCGGACGGGUGAGUAACACGUGGAUAACCUACCUAUAAGACUGGGAUAACUUCGGGAAACCGGAGCUAAUACCGGAUAAUAUAUUGAACCGCAUGGUUCAAUAGUGAAAGACGGUUUUGCUGUCACUUAUAGAUGGUUCCGCGCCGCAUUAGCUAGUUGGUAAGGUAACGGCUUACCAAGGCAACGAUGCGUAGCCGACCUGAGAGGGUGAUCAGCCACACUGGAACUGAGACACGGUCCAGACUACUACGGGAGGCAGCAGUAGGGAAUCUUCCGCAAUGGGCGAAAGCCUGACGGAGCAACGCCGCGUGAGUGAUGAAGGUCUUCGGAUCGUAAAACUCUGUUAUUAGGGAAGAACAAAUGUGUAAGUAACUAUGCACGUAUUGACGGUACCUAAUCAGAAAGCCACGGCUAACUACGUG